GACGAACGCUGGCGGCGUGCUUAACACAUGCAAGUCGAACGGUGAAGGGAUCAGCUUGCUGGUUCUGGAUGAGUGGCGAACGGGUGAGUAACACGUGAGUAACCUGCCCCCUUCUUCUGGAUAACCGCAUGAAAGUGUGGCUAAUACGGGAUAUUCUGCGCCUGCUGCAUGGUGGGUGUGGGAAAGAUAUUGUUUCGGUGGGGGAUGGGCUCGCGGCCUAUCAGCUUGUUGGUGGGGUGAUGGCCUACCAAGGCGGUGACGGGUAGCCGGCCUGAGAGGGGGGACGGUCACACUGGGACUGAGACACGGCCCAGACUCCUACGGGAGGCAGCAGUGGGGAAUAUUGCACAAUGGGCGCAAGCCUGAUGCAGCGACGCCGCGUGAGGGAGGGAGGCCUUCGGGUUGUGAACCUCUUUCGACAGUGAAGCAGGCCUGUCCCGUGUGGGUGGGUUGACGGUAGCUGGAGAAGAAGCGCCGGCUAACUACGUG
rnacentral:rRNA from 1 species